rnacentral:rRNA from 1 species
AUGGUGACAUGUGCAGCUGACUGAUACUAAUCGAUCGAGGACUUAACCAAAAAAGAAAAGCGUAGGCGACUGUACUGCCUCGACAAGCGCUGGAACUUCUGACCGAAAAGUCGAUAGACUUUGACAGAAGAAGUGAAGCGACCUCGAGAGGCUAGGAGCCGGAGCUAGACAAAUGACUUCAUGAAUGUGCGUACGUUAUCUAGUUUUGAAGGAAUGAAUCCUUCAUAAUAGUCUAGUGACGAUGGCGAGAAGGUCACACCCGUUCCCAUACCGAACACGGAAGUUAAGCUUCUCAGCGCCGAUGGUAGUUGGGACUUUGUCCCUGUGAGAGUAGGACGUCGCUAGGCAUUGUUCCGCAGUAGCUCAGUGGUAGAGCUAUCGGCUGUUAACCGAUCGGUCGUAGGUUCGAAUCCUACCUGCGGCUGUNAUGGCGUGCCUUUUGUAGAAUGAACCGGCGAGUUACGAUCCCGUGCAAGGUUAAGUUGAAGAGACGGAGCCGCAGCGAAAGCGAGUCUGAAUAGGGCGAAAUAGUACGUGGUCGUAGACCCGAAACCAGGUGAUCUACCCAUGUCCAGGGUGAAGUUCAGGUAACACUGAAUGGAGGCCCGAACCCACGCACGUUGAAAAGUGCGGGGAUGAGGUGUGGGUAGCGGAGAAAUUCCAAUCGAACCUGGAGAUAGCUGGUUCUCUCCGAAAUAGCUUUAGGGCUAGCCUCGAGUUAGAGUCUUGGAGGUAGAGCACUGAUUGGACUAGGGGCCCUCAUCGGGUUACCGAAUUCAGUCAAACUCCGAAUGCCAAAGACUUGAUUCUCGGGAGUCAGACUGCGAGUGAUAAGAUCCGUAGUCAAGAGGGAAACAGCCCAGACCACCAGCUAAGGUCCCAAAGUAUACGUUAAGUGGAAAAGGAUGUGGAGUUGCUUAGACAACCAGGAUGUUGGCUUAGAAGCAGCCACCAUUUAAAGAGUGCGUAAUAGCUCACUGGUCGAGUGACUCUGCGCCGAAAAUGUACCGGGGCUAAACGUAUCACCGAAGCUGUGGAUUGUUCUUACGAACAAUGGUAGGAGAGCGUUCUAAGUGCAGCGAAGUCAGACCGUAAGGACUGGUGGAGCGCUUAGAAGUGAGAAUGCCGGUAUGAGUAGCGAAAGAGGGGUGAGAAUCCCCUCCACCGAAUGCCUAAGGUUUCCUGAGGAAGGCUCGUCCGCUCAGGGUUAGUCGGGACCUAAGCCGAGGCUGAAAAGCGUAGGCGAUGGACAACAGGUUGAUAUUCCUGUACCACCUCUUUACCGUUUGAGCAAUGGAGGGACGCAGGAGGAUAGGGUAAGCGCGCUGUUGGAUAUGCGCGUCCAAGCAGUUAGACUGGUAAGUAGGCAAAUCCGCUUACCAUAAGGUUGAGCUGUGAUGGCGAGGGAAAUAUAGUACCGAAGUUCCUGAUUCCACACUGCCAAGAAAAGCUUCUAGCGAGGUAAAUGGUGCCCGUACCGCAAACCGACACAGGUAGGCGAGGAGAGAAUCCUAAGGUGAUCGAGAGAACUCUCGUUAAGGAACUCGGCAAAAUGACCCCGUAACUUCGGGAGAAGGGGUGCUUUUUAGGGUGAAUAGCCCUGAAAAGCCGCAGUGAAUAGGCCCAGGCGACUGUUUAGCAAAAACACAGGUCUCUGCGAAGCCGCAAGGCGAAGUAUAGGGGCUGACACCUGCCCGGUGCUGGAAGGUUAAGAGGAGGGGUUAGCGCAAGCGAAGCUCUGAAUCGAAGCCCCAGUAAACGGCGGCCGUAACUAUAACGGUCCUAAGGUAGCGAAAUUCCUUGUCAGGUAAGUUCUGACCCGCACGAAAGGUGUAACGAUCUGGGCACUGUCUCAACGAGAGACUCGGUGAAAUUAUAGUACCUGUGAAGAUGCAGGUUACCCGCGACAGGACGGAAAGACCCCGUGGAGCUUUACUGCAGCCUGAUAUUGAAUUUUGGUACAGCUUGUACAGGAUAGGUAGGAGCCUUGGAAGCCGGAGCGCCAGCUUCGGUGGAGGCAUUGGUGGGAUACUACCCUGGCUGUAUUGAAAUUCUAACCCGAAGGCCUUAUCGGCCUUGGAGACAGUGUCAGGUGGGCAGUUUGACUGGGGCGGUCGCCUCCUAAAAAGUAACGGAGGCGCCCAAAGGUUCCCUCAGAAUGGUUGGAAAUCAUUCGUAGAGUGUAAAGGCACAAGGGAGCUUGACUGCGAGACCUACAAGUCGAGCAGGGACGAAAGUCGGGCUUAGUGAUCCGGUGGUUCCGCAUGGAAGGGCCAUCGCUCAACGGAUAAAAGCUACCCCGGGGAUAACAGGCUUAUCUCCCCCAAGAGUCCACAUCGACGGGGAGGUUUGGCACCUCGAUGUCGGCUCAUCGCAUCCUGGGGCUGUAGUCGGUCCCAAGGGUUGGGCUGUUCGCCCAUUAAAGCGGUACGCGAGCUGGGUUCAGAACGUCGUGAGACAGUUCGGUCCCUAUCCGUCGUGGGCGUAGGAAAUUUGAGAGGAGCUGUCCUUAGUACGAGAGGACCGGGAUGGACACACCGCUGGUGUACCAGUUGUCCUGCCAAGGGCAUAGCUGGGUAGCUAUGUGUGGAAGGGAUAAGUGCUGAAAGCAUCUAAGCAUGAAGCCCCCCUCAAGAUGAGAUUUCCCAUAGUGUUAAACUAGUAAGAUCCCUCGAAGAUGACGAGGUUGAUAGGUCAGAGGUGGAAGCAUGGUGACAUGUGCAGCUGACUGAUACUAAUCGAUCGAGGACUUAACCAA